rnacentral:lncRNA from 1 species
AAUGUUAAGUAAAUUGUCCACGGUCACCCAGCUAGUAAAGGCAGCAAAUGGUGGAACGGAAGUUUCAACCCAGUGGUCUAGGUGGCUUGCUUGGUACCACAGUGCUGAAAAAUACCCAUUAGUGGGAUAAGUAAAGCAUCAUGCAAGGGUGGGAGAUUCAAAGGUGUGAUUACAGCCGGAGUAAAGGAUGAGAACAGGAUUUUAUGGAGGACGUGAAUUGUGACAUGGGAGGGAUUAAACACAGUGAGACAGAAGCAUGAUACAAACAGUUCCCUGUUGCCAGGCACUGAAUGCUUGUGUUCUCUCCAAAUCCAUUUUGCAUUUUGCUAAUAUUGUGCUAAUUGUACAUAGUUAUCACUAAAAUUGCCGUUGACUUCCAUUCAUAUCUUUGGCAAUCCUUUCAUUAUUUACUUGAGCCAGCAAGGUGGACACAUUAUGUCCUAUUCAGUUCAACCUGACCCAGCGCAGAUGCGAGGUCAGGCUGCAGGGUAGGAGUGGGCUGCGACUUCCCAUCUUCUAGCUGAGCGUGGGCUGCCUCCCGGAGAGGUUCCAGGCUCCAGAUCCCUGAGCUGGCAUCCCAGGAGUUCAACUCAGAGGCACAGUCUCAUUUUCAGAGGUGUUACAUCUGCAUAAUAAUACAGUGGGGAGAUCAGCAGCUCAGGUAAGUCACAUAAGUUUGUACCUCUGCCCAAACAAACACUUGCUCCCUUCCCCCGGGCCCCAUCUUCCUCUUACAACCGUCCUGUGGGAUCUGAGUCUUUCUCACGCCUCCUCCCUGUAUUGCAUCUCGUGUUCAGAAGUCACUCGCCCUGCAGCUGUUUCACUCUCUCCUACCUCUGUGUGCCUUCCUUAGGGACAGAAGGCUUAGCUGUGGCAGUGGAGAAGGCCAGGGACCUCAGCCUUGGGUGACCCGGGCUGCACUCCUGUUUCUGUACCUUUGGAAGACAAGCGACAGCCGCCCCUGCCUCUUCUCUCCUCCCUCCUCUUCACCUCCAAGGAUUCUCUCCGCACCAUGGACAGAGUAUUCAUGGAAAACAAAGAAUUUGCUAUUUUUUAAAUCUAAAAACAAGGAGGAGAAGAACCUGGCACCCCCCACCCCUACCUGAGCUUAUACAUACACAGCAGAAGAGAACAGAGGCUGCUCAAAGACAUGGGUGAGUAUGCAUAAACCUUUGCUUUCCUUACAUACCCACCUUGGGGUAGGGGUUGUAGAAAUCUACUUCCCGGAUAAGCUGGGUCUAUUAACAUGGCAACUCACACCUUUUAGAGAAUUGCUAUAUUUUUUUCCAUAGCUGCAGAGUGUUUUUUUUUUUUUCAAAAAUGAAAACCACUUCUAGCUUCAAUUUUAAAUGCCUUAAUUUGAGAGACCAUUAGUCAUGAAGGUGUUUCCAUAGCAAAUGCGUGUGGGAUGUCCUAGCUUUGUUGGCAAUAGUUCAAGGGAACUUAUAUCAUUAAAUUGGGACAAGGCCUGGCAUGAUGGCGAGAAAGCUCAUGGCUCAGUUCCCAUAGUGUGAGGCCUCCAUUUAAGGGCAAGAUAAAGGAAAGGCAAAGAGCAGGAAGAGAAGUGCUGGAAUGAAAACAAGUCACAAAGGAAAGAUAAAAAUGGAAAUCCCAGUUCAGUGUGAAUAAUAGGAAUGCAAAUGGUGCUGCUAAAAUAGGAAGGAGCAUUACUUUUCAAAAAGGCAAAGCAAAAGAAAAUUGUAGUCGCUACAGCAUUUUGCAGGGAAAAUUGUACACUGUGUGUGCCUCUCAGAAGCAAAGCCUCCUCCUCUCCUUUUUCCCAGCACGAUGCUG